rnacentral:rRNA from 1 species
CCUACGAGAGGCAGCAGUGGGGAAUAUUGCGCAAUGGGCGAAAGCCUGACGCAGCGACGCCGCGUGAGGGAUGAAGGUCUUAGGAUCGUAAACCUCUGUCAGCAGGGAAGAACGGUCACUGUGCUAAUCAGCAGUGAAUUGACGGUACCUGCAAAGGAAGCACCGGCUAACUCCGUGCCAGCAGCCGCGGUAAUAAGGAGGGUGCGAGCGUUACUCGGAAUUACUGGGCGUAAAGCGCUCGUAGGCGGGAUGUCAAGGCAAGGGUGAAAUCCCCGCGCGCAACGUGGGAACUGCCUUUGAAACUGGCAAACUGGAGUGUGUGAGCGGAUAGUGGAAUUCCAGGUGUAGGAGUGAAAUCCGUAGAUAUCUGGAGGAACAUCAGUGGCGAAGGCGACUAUCUGGCACAUAACUGACGCUGAGGAGCGAAAGCGUGGGUAGCAAACAGGAUUAGAUACCCCUGUAGUC